GCCAGCAGCCAUAUCACCCUGCAACUCACAACUGACAGCUAAGUAGGUAUGAGCCUGGCCAGUACCUGGAUGGGAGACCUCCUGGGAAAAACUGAGGUUGCUGCUGGAA
rnacentral:rRNA from 1 species